GUGGGUAUGGUUCAGUGGUAGAACAAAAUGCUUCUCGGUGCCUCGCAAGCCGUGCAUUUGACCCAGUGUUCGACUCCUCGCGCCCACC